AGCUUUGCGCAGUGGCAGUAUCGUAGCCAAUGAGGUUUAUCCGAGGCGCGAUGAUUGCUAAUUGAAAACUUUUCCCAUUACCCCGCCACGACGACUUGAAAUAUAGUCGGCAUUGGCGAUUUUUGACAAGUCUCUACGGAGA
rnacentral:snRNA from 1 species